GCAGGAGCCGGCUUGCUGGCGAUCGAGUUAACGCGGUGUUCCUGAUCCACCGCGUCGUACGCAAUCGCCAGCAAGCCGGCUCCUAC
rnacentral:misc_RNA from 1 species